rnacentral:rRNA from 1 species
AUUGAACGCUGGCGGCAGGCUUAACACAUGCAAGUCGAGCGGGGUGAUGGUGCUUGCACUAUCACUUAGCGGCGGACGGGUGAGUAAUGCUUAGGAAUCUGCCUAUUAGUGGGGGACAACAUCUCGCAAGGGAUGCUAAUACCGCAUACGUCCUACGGGAGAAAGCAGGGGAUCACUGGUGACCUUGCGCUAAUAGAUGAGCCUAAGUCGGAUUAGCUAGUUGGUGGGGUAAAGGCCUACCAAGGCGACAAUCUGUAGCGGGUCUGAGAGGUUGAUACGCCACACUGGGACUGAGACACGGCCCAGACUCCUACGGGAGGCAGCAGUGGGGAAUAUUGGACAAUGGGGGGAACCCUGAUCCAGCCAUGCCGCGUGUGUGAAGAAGGCCAUAUGGUUGUAAAGCACUUUAAGCGAGGAGGAGGCUCUUUUGGUUAAUACCCAAGAUGAGUGGACGUUACUCGCAGAAUAAGCACCGGCUAACUCUGUGCCAGCCGCCGCCGUAA